rnacentral:rRNA from 1 species
CUACUAGGGUAUCUAAUCCCGUUCGCUCCCCUGGCUUUCGAGCCUCAGCGUCAGUUACAGUCCAGAAAGCCGCCUUCGCCACUGGUGUUCCUCCCAAUAUCUACGCAUUUCACCGCUACACUGGGAAUUCCGCUUUCCUCUCCUGCACUCAAGGCAUACAGUUUCCAUCCCCUCACGGGGUUGAGCCCCGCACUUUUAAGAUGGACUUAUAUGUCCGCCUGCGCUCCCUUUACGCCCAAUAAUUCCGGACAACGCUCGCCACCUACGUAUUACCGCGGCUGCUGGCAC